UGCCUCUUUGGGGUCCCACCACCCAUCUCAGGGGCCCGCCGCCCCUCGCAGGGUCCCGCUGCCUCUGGCAGGGGUCGCGCCCCUGUCAGGUCUCUUGGUCCCCUCUCUCAGGGGUCCCGCCACCCCCCCCCCCCCCCCGCGGGGUCCCGCCACCCCUCCCAGGGUCCCACCCCUCCCUGCCGGCCGCAGGAGGGGUCCGGGGCUCUGCGGCAGCGCCUCCCGAGCCUGGGCUGCGCCUGACGGGCUCGCAGGGAGCCGCGCUCCGGCCCUCGCCCUGUCCUGCAUCGCGUUUGGGGGACAGCGGAGGUUUUGGCCGUGGCGAGUGAGGUCUUGGUGCAAGGUGCUGACCGUGACACCCAGGAUCCCUGUGCCGGACUGUGGGAGCACAGGGCUGCCCCUGAGGUGGGGCGGAUGGCUGUGCAAUUUAGGUGAACGUUCGCAAGAGCAGAGCAGAGACCUACACACAAUCCCUCCCUUCAGACCCAAUUCACUGAACUUCUUUGUCUGGCAACCUUUCCACAAUGAAGUCAUGUGUAUAACUGAGGAUUAAAGAGUAAAAUACAGUCUUUUAAGCUUUGUAAAGUCGUCCCCCCUGCCCUUCCCCAGUUACUGGUUUCUCAGGAAGUGAGUUGUGUUUCCACAGAAUCACUUACACACAUGUGUGUAAACAUUUCCAACCUUAUGAUGCCAAAUGGCUUUUUAGGGUGCCUGUUUUAUUUCUGAUUCUUUGUGAGGUGCAGGGCUGAUGCCCUCAUUUAUGAGUAAGAAGUGCAAACUGGAGCAUAUUGUUUUGCUCCAUUGCAUCUAAUCCCUCUAAACUCUCCUCAUUCCCUGUGUCUGUGGUGUUUGGCUAAUAUGUGAUCAACCCUUCUCUAGGAUACAAGAGAUGAGAUAAGGUGAAAAAGUGGAAAUUUUCCUUUUGGUUUGAAUGAAACAUAAUUGUACAGCCACUAUUACAAUAGGAACACAGAGAAAAAUUUUUGGAGCCGCAAAUUCUGCAGCAAUUGCUGUUGCCCAUUUCUGACCCCUCUGUGGCCCAGAAUGCUUUUUACUAGAGCAAGAAUGAUUUUAAUAGUCAAGAUUUUUAGGGGUUACAACUAACUUCCAGAAAUGAGUUCUGUGUUUAUUUUCAGGAGAAAAUAAGUCAUUCUGAUUUUGAAAGAUUUAAGGAUUUUCUUCCAAAUCCCACUUUCCACCAAAGAAAACAGUACAAAAUUUCCUGUCUAAAUUAGUGGUGGCUCUUUCCUUACACAGGUCAACGGAAAGGGUUUUGUUAUCAAGGUGAGAGGCUUCCUUGCCACUGCCUCUCUUCCUUGAAACUUAUCAUUGGCUUACUCUUAAAACUUCAGCACAGUUUUUCAGCUGCUUCAUUUCAAUUUAGCUAUUUUUUGAUGGCUCACUCUUUUUUAAUAGCUUUAAAGUACUUAUGAGCCUGCUGUUCUGAUGGGAACAAGCUCUGGUACAGCAACAUGCUCACUGCAUGGUUAGGAAAGCUCAGUCAUGUGAUUUCAGGAUUUGAAGCUUUUGCUCUGCUCUGGUUUUACUGUGUGUUCAAGCUCUAAUUCCUUUCUAUAGGCACCCCCUCUCCAUGCAUAGCUGAAGCAAAGCCAGAGCUUUGAUUUUGCUGAAGGCUGAAGUCCGCUUAGUUUGCUGAGAAGUUGUGAGUGAGGGUGCUGCCCUCUCACCCUCCUUGCCAAGAACACCCCUGGAGAGAGCAACAAAUAGGAAAAAAGCCCUUGGUCUCCCAGCAUGAGGAACCACGUGCUGCCUGUCUGCGUGCUUGACCCAGCACAAAAACACUGGCAGCCAGAGUAUGCUCUGGCCUCAGCACCGCUGGCUGCCUGGGCUGGGCCACUGCAGUCUGAGAGAACAUUCUGUGAAGCUGAGAUGUGUCAACUAAUAGUGCAGAUUUAACGCAUGCUGCUGCAUUUUUUGGCUGCUGUUAAGGUAAAGUUCUACUCUCUGGUAGUAAAAUAAAUGGAUACGUAAAUUUUCCAGAGCAUCUGAAGGAGAGAGGAGGUGGCUGUUUGGUAGGCAGGUUACUAACACUGAUGCUCUGCCACCCAUGGGGGUGGCUGCCUGAGCACAACCCUCUGGAAGGAUGAGGGAGCAUCAAACUACAGCAGCUGUAGCUCCUUUCCCAGUGAGCACAUUCCAGUGUGAACUGGCUACAAUACAUCUCAAUGCUCCUCAAUUCAGCUGAGGACAGAGAGUUGGUUUGCUGCCCCACAAAGCAAAAGGAGGUUGGGCUGGCUAGAGGUGUGACCCAGCUGUGUGCUAUUUAGGGGGCAGGUGGGAGAGAAAAUGUUCAUUGGGAUCAGCUGUUGUGUCUCCACAAAACAAGUACUCAUUUUCUUGUGAGUGGGGUAGGAGUUUAGUACUUCUGUAGAAGUCCAAGAUGGAGUUUCUCUAUAUGCAGUGAAAUUGUUUAGCAUUGCUUGAGGGUUUUUUCUCCUACUUUCUUCACAAUUCCAGCAGACAGAGCAUGGGUAAUGAGGAAGAAAAGCAGGUGAGUUUUUCAGAAUUUAGGGGGAGCGUGAGUCCUUGUUGGAAGGAUCCAGUCCCUAGAAAAGAUAUUGGGAUAGUAUGAUCAAUUCAUGACUAGCUUAAAGUAACAAAAAAAAAUAUUUUUGUAGGGACUGGGGUCCAGUCUUUCUGGGGGAAGAAAAGGUGAUAUAGAUCCUAGUAAGAAAUCUGUAGCUAACUUAGGUACAGGUAAUCAUACCUGUGCAGGAAUGCUCAGUUUCUCUGGCUUUCUUAAUUAUAAAUGCACUUGGAAUUUUCCUUAUAACUCAAGCUGCAUCCCAUUGUUUCAAUCACAUAUCAGUGUCAUCCUUUCCUUGUGGUUUUGUUUUUUGGGAUUUGUUUGUUUGUGAGUUUGGGGUUUUUAGGGGUUUCGUUGGUAGUGGUCGGUAUAAAAAUAGCCUGGUAUGGAUUUGGAUGAGGGUGCUCAGCUGGCCUCAGGGCUGGUAGGAGUGCAGGGUAGAAGUGCAGCCAGUGUCAGCUGUACCUCAGUGCUGUGGCUCCUGUCCCAGGAUGCAGACCCUGUGCACAGCUGUGCUCAUCUUCUAUGAUGGUCUGUGCACUUACACACCACUCAUGCUCCCAGUCACAAGGCCUGAUGUGCUGGGAAACAAAAUGCAUGAAGAUGUUUUCAUCCUCAAAAAAUACCCCAAACCCCAACACUGUUCUGACAGUCUGGUGUUAUCCCUGUUUGGCAGAAGAGAAGCUGAGGAUGAAAAGGGCCCUGAGUACCUGGCCAACUGCUGUGACAGGAGGCUGUGCUGGUGCUGCUCGGAAGGUAGGUCUUGUCAAGAUGAAAGAUGACAUUCUGGUGUUGCAAGAGCAUUCUGAGCUUGUGGACCACAAUCAGACAGAGAUAUCUUACUUUGGUUUCUGUCCUGAGGAAAUCUCUCCUGGAUUUCAGGUGCCUUCCUGUCCUCUCCAUUUUCCUCUUUGCUAGUACUGCAGUUUCUCAUUGAGUAUGCUGAAUUGCUCCCUGUUCAGUGUGGUGGUUCUUCUGAGACCCUUGUUUAUCCCAUACACAUUCUCAGGAGAUCUGCCUUACUCCUAGCACAGCAGCUAAUUAGGUUAAUCGUGUUGCUAAAGAAAUGUUUAUGGAACCACAGA